rnacentral:rRNA from 1 species
GACGAACGCUGGCGGCGCGCCUAACACAUGCAAGUCGAACGAGCGAGAGAGAGCUUGCUUUCUCAAGCGAGUGGCGAACGGGUGAGUAACGCGUGAGGAACCUGCCUCAAAGAGGGGGACAACAGUUGGAAACGACUGCUAAUACCGCAUAAGCCCACGACCCGGCAUCGGGUAGAGGGAAAAGGAGCAAUCCGCUUUGAGAUGGCCUCGCGUCCGAUUAGCUAGUUGGUGAGGUAACGGCCCACCAAGGCGACGAUCGGUAGCCGGACUGAGAGGUUGAACGGCCACAUUGGGACUGAGACACGGCCCAGACUCCUACGGGAGGCAGCAGUGGGGAAUAUUGCACAAUGGGGGAAACCCUGAUGCAGCGACGCCGCGUGGAGGAAGAAGGUCUUCGGAUUGUAAACUCCUGCUGUUGAGGAAGAUAAUGACGGUACUCAACAAGGAAGUGACGGCUAACUACGUG